CACAUAGGGCGCAAGCGUUGUCCGGAAUUAUUGGGCGUAAAGAGCUCGUAGGCGGUCUGUUGCGUCUGCUGUGAAAACUCGGGGCUUAACCCCGAGCCUGCAGUGGAUACGGGCAGACUAGAGGUAGGUAGGGGAGACUGGAAUUCCUGGUGUAGCGGUGAAAUGCGCAGAUAUCAGGAGGAACACCGAUGGCGAAGGCAGGUCUCUGGGCCAUAACUGACGCUGAGAAGCGAAAGCAUGGGGAGCGAACAGG
rnacentral:rRNA from 1 species